rnacentral:rRNA from 1 species
UACGUAGGGUGCGAGCGUUGUCCGGAAUUACUGGGCGUAAAGAGCUCGUAGGUGGUUUGUCGCGUUGUCCGUGAAAACUCACAACUCAAUUGUGGGCGUGCGGGCGAUACGGGCAGACUGGAGUACUGCAGGGGAGACUGGAAUUCCUGGUGUAGCGGUGGAAUGCGCAGAUAUCAGGAGGAACACCGGUGGCGAAGGCGGGUCUCCGGGACGGUACUGACGCUGAGACGCGAAAGCGUGGGGAGCGAACAGG